rnacentral:tRNA from 1 species
GCGCAUGUAGCUCAACGGGACAGAGCAGGGAAUUUCUACUUCCACGGUUGAGGGUUCGAGUCCUUCCGUGCGCACCA